GGAACGUCCUCUCCUCAUUGUUGCGGUGUUUCUCUCCACCGCCCCAGUUUCCAGAGCUGAAGAGGAUUUGUUUGUGCUCAAGGGAGACUCUGUUCGUCUGGAUGUGAAGAGACAUGAAGAACUAUAGUUUGACAGCAUAUUAUGGAGAUUUAAUAUCUCUUCUAAAAUAGUGCAUUACAAUCAGAAUAUAAAAUAUAUGAAAAAAUAUAAAAACAGUAUUAUAUCAGAAUUUGAUGAGACAAGCUUCUCUCUGCUACUGAAGAAUGUGCAGCAGAAUUACAGUGGGAUCUACAGAGCAAUGACAACAGAUGAUGAAGGACUGGAGAAACAUGUUGCUACCUACAGGCUCACAGUUCAAGAGGCCCCGCCCAUACCCCAGGUGAGCGUGGCGUUACUCUCCUCUGAUGGAGGGGUCUGUAAGGUGUCGGUGAACUGCUCUGCUGAAGACACCAUGGUCAGCUACACCUGUGACCACGCCCACUGCACACAGGUAGCAAAUACAACUUCGCUGACAAGACUCAACCUCAUCGUCACGGCAGCCAACGACACCAUCCACUGCAACAGCAGUAACCGGGUCGCCGCAAAGACGCAAUCAAAUUCCACAAAGGACAUCUGUUCAGUGCCUCCUGUAGCACCAUCUCCUGGCCUCUCACCGUGUGCACUAAAGUCAGUGCUGCUCUCCACGGGUCUGGUUGCCAUGGUUUCGGCUGUCAUCGCAGUUCAUGUCAGAGAGAGGUGCUGCAGGUCAGUCAUGGUCACUGUGUUUAUAUUUCUCAUCAGCAGUGAGCUUCAAUCUGACUCACAAUACAACACAUUCUACCACACUCACAGCCUACCAUGCACUCAAAUGUUUGGCAUUUAUAUAGCACCUUUAUCCAAAGCGCUGUACAAUUGAUGCUUCUCAUUCACCCGUUCAUACACACACUCACACACCAACGGCGAUUGGCUGCCAUGCAAGAUGCCGACCAGCUCGUCAGGAGUAUUUGGGGGUUAGGUGUCUUGCUCAGGGACACUUCGGCCCGGGCGGGGGAUCAAACCGCCAACCCUCCGACUGCCAGACGACUGCUCUUACUGCCUGAGCCAUGUCGCCCCUCUAACACACACUCACACUUUACCACACUCACACGCUCUACUGUACCACACAUUCACACUCUACCACACACUCACA